rnacentral:rRNA from 1 species
AUUGAACGCUGGCGGCAGGCCUAACACAUGCAAGUCGAACGAGUGGCGGACGGGUGAGUAAUGUAUGGGAAACUGCCUGAUGGAGGGGGAUAACUACUGGAAACGGUAGCUAAUCCCGCAUACCAUCAGAUGUACCCAGAUGGGAUUAGCUAUGUGGUGGGGUAACGGCUCACCAAGGCGACGAUCCCUAGCUGGUCUGAGAGGAUGACCAGCCAAACUGGAACGUAGCCACGGUCCAGACUCCUACGGUAGGCAGCAGUGGGGAAUAUGGCACAAUGGGAGCAAGCCUGAUGCAGCCAUGCCGCGUGUAUGAAGAAGGCCUUCGGGUUGUAAAGUACUUUCAGCGGGGAGGCGUUACCCGCAGAAGAAGCACCGGCUAACUCCGUGCCAGCAGCCGCGGUAAUAC